UACAGAGGUGGCAAGCGUUGUUCGGAAUUACUGGGCGUAGAGGGCGCGUAGGCGGCCUUCUAAGUCAGACGUGAAAUCCCCCGGCUUAACCUGGGAACUGCGUCUGAUACUGGAGGGCUUGAGUGCGGGAGAGGGAUGUGGAAUUCCAGGUGUAGCGGUGAAAUGCGUAGAUAUCUGGAGGAACACCGGUGGCGAAGGCGGCAUCCUGGACCGACACUGACGCUGAGGCGCGAAAGCUAGGGUAGCAAACGGG
rnacentral:rRNA from 1 species